rnacentral:rRNA from 1 species
ACGACGCUGGCGGCGUGCCUAAUACAUGCAAGUCGAACGGUCUUUCUAUGGAAGCUUGCUUCCACUGAGAAGAUAGUGGCGAACGGGUGAGUAACACGUGGGUAACCCUGCCCAUAAGAGGGGGAUAACAUCCGGAAACGGGUGCUAAUACCGCAUAGUUUUCUUGAUCGCAUGAUCGGGAAAGGAAAGACGGCCUUUGUGCUGUCGCUUAUGGAUGGACCCGCGGCGUAUUAGUUAGUUGGUGAGGUAACGGCUCACCAAGACGAUGAUACGUAGCCGACCUGAGAGGGUGAUCGGCCACAUUGGGACUGAGACACGGCCCAAACUCCUACGGGAGGCAGCAGUAGGGAAUCUUCCGCAAUGGACGAAAGUCUGACGGAGCAACGCCGCGUGAGUGAAGAAGGUUUUCGGAAUCGUAAAACUCUGUUGUCAGAGAAGAACAAGUUGGAGAGUAACUGCUCCAGCCUUGACGGUAUCUGACCAGAAAGCCACGGCUAACUACGUGCCAGCAGCAGC